rnacentral:rRNA from 1 species
UACGAAGGGGCUAGCGUUGUUCGGAAUUACUGGGCGUAAAGCGCACGUAGGCGGAUUGUUAAGUUAGGGGUGAAAUCCCGGGGCUCCAACCCCGGAACUGCCUUUAAUACUGGCAAUCUCGAGUCCGAGAGAGGUGAGUGGAAUUCCGAGUGUAGAGGUGAAAUUCGUAGAUAUUCGGAGGAACACCAGUGGCGAAGGCGGCUCACUGGCUCGGUACUGACGC